rnacentral:rRNA from 1 species
ACUCUACGGGAGGCAGCAGUGGGGAAUAUUGCACAAUGGGCGCAAGCCUGAUGCAGCCAUGCCGCGUGUAUGAAGAAGGCCUUCGGGUUGUAAAGUACUUUCAGCAGUGAGGAAGGUGGGUAUGUUAAUAGCAUACUCAUUUGACGUUAGCUGCAGAAGAAGCACCGGCUAACUCCGUGCCAGCAGCCGCGGUAAUACGGAGGGUGCGAGCGUUAAUCGGAAUUACUGGGCGUAAAGCGCAUGCAGGUGGUUUGUUAAGUCAGAUGUGAAAGCCCGGGGCUCAACCUCGGAAUUGCAUUUGAAACUGGCAAACUAGAGUACUGUAGAGGGGGGUAGAAUUUCAGGUGUAGCGGUGAAAUGCGUAGAGAUCUGAAGGAAUACCGGUGGCGAAGGCGGCCCCCUGGACAGAUACUGACACUCAGAUGCGAAAGCGUGGGGAGCGAAACAGGAUUAGAUACCCGUCGUAGGCUCUGC